rnacentral:lncRNA from 1 species
AGGUGCGCGCGUUCGAUAAGAAUUGUUCGCUUUACACAGCUUUUAUUAGGCAUGGAUAGUUGUAUGCGUUGAUUUAUGUUUUAUUGACAAUUGUCUCCGAGGGAAUUUGUUUAUGGCCCUCAAGGUUACAAGGUCAAACUCUCACUACUGAUCUGACAUCUUAAGGACGAGAGUGACAUGUUCAUUGUUGUUGCAAUUAUAUUCUUUGUAUAUUUUUAGGUUUUUCCUGGAGCAUGGACUGCAAUACUAGUAUCUCUCGACAAUGUCGGAACAUGGAACCUGCGAGCCGAAAACCUAGACAGGUGGUACCUAGGCCAAGAAACUUAUCUGAGGAUUGUCAAUCCCGAAGAAAACGGCGAGACAGAAACUAGCGAACCCUCUAAUGUUUUAUUUUGUGGUCCUCUCCAACAUUUACAAAAGUAACGAACGGCUCAUGCUUUCAUCGACAUUGUUUUAGUCCUUUCUUUGUCCACUUAAAAAUAAAAUUUGUGAUGUUUUUUAUGAAUAAAUUAUGUAAUUUAAAAUUUUAUCGUAACUUAAAAUUUUAUCGUAAUUUAAAAUUUAUAAUUAUGUAUUUUUAUGAAUUAUAUUAAUUAUAUAUAUAUAUUACUUUUGUUAUUUCAAUAAAAAUUGAAAUAAUUUUUUUUUUAAAAAAAAACUUUAGGAAAUCGGCAUUUCGAACUUGAACUUUCUAAAAUUUUAUCGUAAUUUAAAAUUUCUAUUUAUCUAUUUUUAUGAAUUAUAUUAAUUAUAUAUAUAUAUUACUUUUGUUAUUUCAAUAAAAAUUGAAAUAAUUUUUUUUUAUGUCAAGGAUCAUGUUGGGUAAUAUGAGUAGUGUUGAAACAAUACUAGUAUCUCUCGACAAUGUCGGAACAUGGAACCUGCGAGCCGAAAACCUAGACAGGUGGUACCUAGGCCAAGAAACUUAUCUGAGGAUUGUCAAUCCCGAAGAAAACGGCGAGACAGAAACUAGCGAACCCUCUAAUGUUUUAUUUUGUGGUCCUCUCCAACAUUUACAAAAGUAACGAACGGCUCAUGCUUUCAUCGACAUUGUUUUAGUCCUUUCUUUGUCUUCUCUUUUGUUAAACUGUCUUUCUUUACACCUGCAG